UACAGAGGUCCCGAGCGUUGUUCGGAUUCACUGGGCGUAAAGGGUGCGUAGGUGGCGUGGUAAGUUUGAUGUGAAAGCUCAGGGCUUAACCCUGAAAUGGCAUUGAAUACUACUGUGCUGGAGGUUUGGAGGGGGGACUGGAAUUCUUGGUGUAGCAGUGAAAUGCGUAGAUAUCAAGAGGAACACCAGUGGCGAAGGCGGGUCUCUGGGCAGUAACUGACGCUGAGGAGCGAAAGCGUGGGGAGCGAACAGG
rnacentral:rRNA from 1 species